rnacentral:lncRNA from 1 species
UUUGCCAGUAGGAAGGGCGGAAAUUCCUGAAGAUGUGUUCAUCCAUGUUGCAUCAGCUGCUUGGUGUUUUCAUGGCAUCUCUGCACGCGUGUUGGAUACCUCGUAAUCUGAAGAAACCAGCAGAAUGCAUCAGUGUCAGAGUUGGCUCCUGUAGCGCAUGCAAGUUGAUCUUAAGCAGAAAACCAGAAGUGGCAGUGGUCUCCAGAAGAGACCAAGGACCCCAAGCUCUCUCUGACACAAGCAGGAAGGGCACUGUGGUGCAUUGAAAACUUGCUCCAGUAGUGCAUUGCCAGUGCACUAUGCUGCUGUUUCAUCAAGGAGAAAGGAGGUGACCAGCCCCAGAGGAACUUCAUGCUCUACAGUACGCCUACGGAGAACACCUCAAGGCGCAUCCAAGCAACGUCCUGGAGGCACAGUGCCACCGGAAUCUCAAUCGCCAUUUGGGGGACCUGCUUAAAGUCCUUAAGAAAUGAUUCCAGUGUGAGGCUUUCAAA